rnacentral:rRNA from 1 species
UACGGAGGGUGCAAGCGUUAUCCGGAUUCACUGGGUUUAAAGGGUGCGUAGGAGGGCAGGUAAGUCAGUGGUGAAAUCCCCGAGCUUAACUUGGGAACUGCCGUUGAUACUAUCUGUCUUGAAUAUUGUGGAGGUGAGCGGAAUAUGUCAUGUAGCGGUGAAAUGCUUAGAUAUGACAUAGAACACCAAUCGCGAAGGCAGCUCGCUACACAUAUAUUGACUCUGAGGCACGAAAGCGUGGGGAUCAAACAGG